GACAGAGGGUGCAAACGUUGUCCGGAAUCAUUGGGCGUAAAGAGCGUGUAGGCGGCCCGAUAAGUCCGCUGUGAAAGUCCAGGGCUCAACCCUGGAAUGCCGGUGGAUACUGUCGGGCUCGAAUCCGGAAGAGGUGAGUGGAAUUCCUGGUGUAGCGGUGAAAUGCGCAGAUAUCAGGAGGAACACCGGUGGCGAAGGCGGGUCUCUGGGCCGAUACUGACGCUGAGGAGCGAAAGCGUGGGGAGCGAACAGG
rnacentral:rRNA from 1 species